rnacentral:rRNA from 1 species
GACGAACGCUGGCGGCGUGCUUAACACAUGCAAGUCGAACGGAAAGGCCCUGCUUUUGUGGGGUGCUCGAGUGGCGAACGGGUGAGUAACACGUGAGUAACCUGCCCUUGACUUUGGGAUAUCUUCAGGAAACUGGGGCUAAUACCGGAUAUGAGCUCCUGCUGCAUGGUGGGGGUUGGUAAGUUUCGGCGGUUGGGGAUGGACUCGCGGCUUAUCCGCUUGUUGGUGGGGUAGUGGCUUACCAAGGUUUUGACGGGUAGCCGGCCUGGGAGGUGGACCGGCCACAUGGGGACUGAGAUACGGCCCAGACUCCUACGGGAGGCAGCAGUGGAGAAUAUUGCAGAAUGGGCGGAAGCCUGAUGCAGCAACGCCGCGUGCGGGAUGACGGGCUUCGGGUUGUAAACCGCUGUCGCCUGUGACGAAGCGUGAGUGACGGUAAUGGGUAAAGAAGCACCGGCUAACUACGUG